ACAGAGGUCUCAAGCGUUGUUCGGAAUCACUGGGCGUAAAGGGUGCGUAGGUGGCGUGGUAAGUCAGAUGUGAAAGCCCAGGGCUCAACCCUGGAACUGCAUCCGAUACUGCCAUGCUAGAGAACUGAAGAGGAGUGUAGAAUUCUCGGUGUAGCAGUGAAAUGCGUAGAUAUCGAGAGGAAUACCAACGGCGAAGGCAGCACUCUGGGCAGUUUCUGACACUGAGGCACGAAGGCUAGGGGAGCAAACAGGA
rnacentral:rRNA from 1 species